CCCACUCUCUCAACACAAAUGUGAAACCUUUUUCAUCUAAUAUUUUGAUUUGAAGAAUGCAGACACUAUUGAAGAACUUGUAGGCAAUUUGCUAACGAAGCCGCUUAUUAGGAAGCUUGAGGUUUAUCAUCUAACCCUAAUUUGAAGGAGGUGAGGAAAUGGUCAUCGCAAGACAAGGGAAGCAUCCAGAAUCAGAAUUUGUGGCAAGGAGAUUUGCUAACAACGUUAGGACAAUGAAGACAGUAACUAUUAAGGCCGCAAUAGACAAUGCAAUUGCAAGAGAGUCAGAUGUUGAUGCACAAGAUGUGGCACAACUGUUAAUGCUUUAUGUGUGUCUCACACUUUCUUCUCCACUUCAACGGAUGGGAUUGCAUGGGGAUUCAUUCCAUACAUUGAAGAUUUGGUGAACAUGAAAAAGUACAAUUGGUCGAAAGCAAUUGCGAUUAACCUCAUGGAUUCUAUUAAGAAGUGUGCACAAAAUCCUGAGAAGAUUAUCGGUUGUGUUACUAUAAUGUUGUACUUGUUCUGCGAACAUACCAAAUUGUUCGUUCCAACAGACACAAAAGGUUUCCCACGAUUCCUAAAAUGAAAAUAUGAUUAAACCGACAAAGUUGGAAGUUCUCGGGACUCGAAAAAAAUGCAUAGAGAUGAAGAAUUGUCCGGACACCUUCAUUGGAUGUUCGGAUAGUUGAAUCCAAGGGCAAAAGGUCAAAGAAUCAUGAAGCUACAACAAAAAAAUGAAAAUCUG